rnacentral:rRNA from 1 species
AUUGAACGCUGGCGGCAGGCUUAACACAUGCAAGUAGAGCGAGCGGCGGACGGGUGAGUAAUGUCUGGGAAACUGCCUGAUGGAGGGGGAUAACUACUGGAAACGGUAGCUAAUACCGCAUACCAUCAGAUGUGCCCAGAUGGGAUUAGCUAGUGGGUGGGGUAAUGGCUCACCUAGGCGACGAUCCCGAGCUGGUCUGAGAGGAUGACCAGCCACACUGGAACUGAGCCACGGGCCUGACUCCUACGUGAGGCAUCAGUAGGGAAGAUUGCACAAUGGGCGCAAGCCUGAUGCAGCCAUGCCGCGUGUGUGAAGAAGGCCUUCGUGUUGUAAAGCACUUUCAGCGAGGAGGCGUUACUCGCAGAAGAGGCACCGGCUAACUCCGUGCCAGCCGCCGCGGUAAUUC